GGGGACAGAGACGGAGCGAGUCGAAUUAAAUUGGGGGUUAGGGUUUUGCUCGGUGGAAGAUCAAAAAUGGAGGGUUGGGACCCGAACACCAAGUCGACGCUGACCCAGAUACCACUCUUGACGACGAAGGCCGGUCCCAGAGAUGGGGCGGCGUGGACGCAGCGGCUGAAGGAGGAGUACAAGGCGCUGAUCGCAUACACCCAGAUGAACAAGUCCAACGACAACGAUUGGUUCCGAAUCUCCGCCUCCAAUCCCGAGGGUACACGGUGGACUGGCAAGUGCUGGUACGUCUACAACCUCCUCAAGUACGAGUUCGAUCUCCAGUUCGAUAUCCCCAUCACCUACCCCGCCACCGCACCGGAACUCGAGCUCCCUCAGCUAGACGGCAAGACCCAAAAGAUGUAUAGAGGGGGGAAGAUCUGCUUGACGGUGCAUUUCAAGCCGCUUUGGGCCAAGAACUGUCCAAGAUUUGGUAUAGCACAUGCACUUUGUUUGGGUCUUGCACCAUGGCUUGCGGCAGAGAUUCCCGUUCUUGUGGAUUCUGGUAUGGUUAAGCACAAAGAUGAUGCUGCAUCAUCAACUGAAUCUUAGUUCAGUGUAAUAUUGGCGCUGUAAGAGUAACACCUCGAUGACAGAGAAUAAAGACUGUAACCAAGAACUACUGCACCAUUUGAUAUUUGAGUCCAUUGCACUACAUAUGCAUUCUUUACCUGAUAUAUCCCAUGAAAAAUGUCAGUAGCAGAGUCCGGAUGUGAGCACCGGCUAUAUCAGCAUCAUUAAGAUGAUCAGGCUUUCGUUCUCCAAUUAUCGUACCUAUUUCCAAUGUCAGAAUGCCAACAGACGGGAAGGCACCUUCUUCGAUCUGUGCUUCUUUUGACGUCCUUACUCUUGUGGGGCUGCUUCUUGUUUCCUCUUUUGCCCGCGGAGGCUGGGAGUUUGUGUUUUGGGGACGGUGAUGCGCAUAGGCUUUAGAGGAGGGGCAUUGGGAGAACAGAGAGUAAGGACAACUGAACUGAAACUGUAAGUACAGGAACCCUGCGUCAUGAUCACACUUAAAGACUUAAAGUGGGUCAUUUUUGUUAAUGACUAAUCAGUGUGUACGAUCCAAC